UGUGAAAUGAUAUUUCUCUAUCCAGUAUCUGCAGAGUGAGGUGCCUCGUUGAGAGCAGAGAGAUGCUUCUCCUAUCCCUGGGAUGGGUCCUGGGGAAGAUCCAGCUCUGCCUGUGGCUGGUAGUGGUCUGGGAUUGUCCCUUUCCUGGAGGGCUGUAGCUUCUUAGGAGUGAUGAGCAUUUUAGGCCCUGGGUGGGCUGGAGAGGAAUAGAGAAGGGGGCCCCAAUGAGCAGCAGCCAGUGAUGUGUGUGUGUCCAUUUUUCUUCUAUGCCCCAGUGCUGGCCUAGCUUACAAGUGUUCUCUCUUUCUCUUUUCAGUUCCUACUGAGAUUGGUCUCUGCCACAGGUUGGCCAGUCUCUCAUCUGACCAAAGAAGUAGUGGCCACCAUGAGCCCAUCCCUAGGGAUGGAAGCCAGACAGUAAUCUGCAGAGUAAGAGCAAAUGGAAAUUUUCUGAAGUUCAUUAUUGAGGGAGGGCUGCAAACACUCGUCUCAGUGGAGAGAAUUUGUAAGUAUGGGGAAGGCCCCUGAGGAAAGGCCUCUGCAUCUCAUGGGGACACAAUAAGCUCAGGGGAAUCCUUUGUGCCCUGUCAAGGGGUUGUCAGAUGCUAUGGAGUCUUCCUGAAAUGCAGUAACCCUUUAUGGAGAGCCAGGAAGGUGACUACAGGUGCUGAGUUUACCUCCUUCCUGUGUGUGUAUCUCUGCUCUCAUAUGUUGGCCAACAUGCUCUGUGUGUGUCUGCCUCUCCUUGUACUGUCUCCUUGCAUAGAACAUGGGCAAUGGUUCAUGCUUUCUGGCUUGGUCUGGAGAGUCUGUAUCCCACUGGAGCAUUGGGAGGAGGAAGAGAAGCAUGAUGGGUAUUAGAUCCUCCAUUGGUAGUGGUCUGGGGGGACUGUGGGAGUUGACUCUGACUCUGUUCAUCAAGUGGGGCUAAUGUACAGUGGAUGGGAGAGGGAGGGCGGCAUCUCAGACACCAAUAGAACUUGGGGCAGUGAUGGCUCCUGAUUGGGUUACAUGUUGUCUUUGCAGAGGGAUCGUCCAGGAGCCGCAGCCAGAGGAGAAACUGGAAGAAAUGAACCUGAGCAGCCUGGACAUCCUUGUAAGCAGAGAUGAACAGUCCUCAGCUUUCUGCCUUCCACAUAACUGGCUGUGAGUUUGGUAUUUCUGACCAGAGUCUGCUAUGCAGAGUGAGUAUUAAGGUGUCAUUGCAAGGGGAGUUUUCUACUUUUAGUCCUAAAGAUGUAAUGGAAAGAUGGUUGAGGGCGGAGGCCUACCGUGUCGAGGAGGUGAAAAGAAGAGCCUACAAGACAUUGCCUCCUGAGAGGGUAGGGUAUUUCUUUUUCCCCUUGUGGUGGGUUUAGUUGCAAAGGAAAAGAAGUCACGCGUCAGAGUCCACUGUCCUCGUGCGAUGGAAGGGGAGCAAGAGUGCUGAGACCGUGAGGAUUGUAGAUGGACGGCUUUUGCGCAGCAUCAGGGAGUGGAACAGCCAUCACUGUCAGUGAGAUAAGUGUCUGGUUUGGUGGUUCCUCUGCUCACGGACCACCUCGCUCCUGGUAGGGGCGCCCUGUUAGCUAGGGCUGAGUUUGUAAGAAAA